GGCCUGCUGGCUCAAUGGUAGAGCGUCUGACUACGAAUCAGGAGGUUCCAGGUUCGAGACCUGGGUGGGUCG